UACAGAGGUCCCAAGCGUUGUUCGGAUUCACUGGGCGUGAAGGGUGCGUAGGUGGUGGGGUAAGUCGGAUGUGAAAGCUCGGAGCUCAACUCCGAAAUGGCAUUGGAAACUACCCUGCUAGAGGAUUGGAGGGGGGACUGGAAUACUUGGUGUAGCAGUGAAAUGCGUAGAUAUCAAGUGGAACACCAGUGGCGAAGGCGAGUCCCUGGACAAUUCCUGACACUGAGGCACGAAAGCUAGGGGAGCAAACAGG
rnacentral:rRNA from 1 species